rnacentral:rRNA from 1 species
GAUGAACGCUGGCGGCGUGCCUAAUACAUGCAAGUCGAGCGAACGGACGAGAAGCUUGCUUCUCUGAUGUUAGCGGCGGACGGGUGAGUAACACGUGGAUAACCUACCUAUAAGACUGGGAUAACUUCGGGAAACCGGAGCUAAUACCGGAUAAUAUUUUGAACCGCAUGGUUCAAAAGUGAAAGACGGUCUUGCUGUCACUUAUAGAUGGAUCCUCGCUGCAUUAGCUAGUUGGUAAGGUAACGGCUUACCAAGGCAACGAUGCAUAGCCGACCUGAGAGGGUGAUCGGCCACACUGGAACUGAGACACGGUCCAGACCCCUACGGGAGGCAGCAGUAGGGAAUCUUCCGCAAUGGGCGAAAGCCUGACGGAGCAACGCCGCGUGAGUGAUGAAGGUCUUCGGAUCGUAAAACUCUGUUAUUAGGGAAGAACAUAUGUGUAAGUAACUGUGCACAUCUUGACGGUACCUAAUCAGAAAGCCACGGCUAACUACGUG